CCCCUUAACCGGGGGAACCUGCCAUCUGGGGAAGGGGUUGGGGGGAAGGAGGGGAAAAAUUGGAACAAAAGGUUUGGCCAUUGUCAAUGCUAAAAAAUUACCCAUGUAUAUAACUUGUAAAUAAGAAGCUAUAAUAUAAAUAAAUAAAUAGAAAAUGAUUAAAAGUUUUUAAAAUAUAUGUUAAAAUAUUAGUUAAAUACAAUACAAGUAACAUGUCCACACAGUUAUUUUGCUGUACAAAAAGAAUCGGACUCUGAAAUAGUGUACAAUUAAUCUGUGAAGGAAAUAAAAAAUGUAGGCGGACAAAAACAGAGGGAUUGGGAGUUGUAUGUAAUGGUUCUUAGUCAUCUCCCAGAGCUCUUUCGCUGGGCGUAGCUGGUUCAGUUACUGCUCUAUUGGAACUGAUCUGAUACAUCUCAUUGCUGGAGAUGGCCGCGUCCAUCAGAAUACAUCAGUUCAUAAUGGAAGAGAAACUGAAACUGCAAUGAACUUUUUUUUUUUUCAUCUCUACUGAUCAAUAAACAGAACCACAGGACGUGCAAAUCAACUCGUCAUGAGAAAUCUAGGUAGGCUAAAUAGGAUGAGAAUGUUUGUUCCUACCAAAGAUAUCUGGAGGAAGAAUGGAGGAUUGGCAUUGAGAAAAAAUGCAGACAGCUAAGUGGGUACUGUCUGAAAGUUGGCAUUCAUCCCCGGCAUUAAAAAUAUCAAAAUAAGAAAUACAGUGUUUUAAAAAAAAAAAAAAAAACAAAGAAAACACUGCUUCCAAAAAACUCUGAUUGUCUUGGCACAAGCCCUGUGGGCAAAAAAACAACAACACAUCACUUCCAAGAACUAUUACAGAAAAAAGAAAGAUCUCAACACGCCCAUGGAAUUCAGCUAACAAUGGUUCAAGUAUAAAAGAUGUACUGAAAGUUCA